rnacentral:lncRNA from 10 species
CUGGAUCCCUCCCGCCCCUGGAGGUGUCACCAGUGGAGGCUGCAGAAUAGCAAAGAUGACUGCCUGCUCCUUCCUCUGGGAGGUCUGUCCCAGAGGAGCAUCAACCUGAUGCCAUUGGGAAUGCUCCUGUAUAAUGUGUCUGGUGACCACUGCUGAGGUGCCACCCAGUCAGGAGGCAAGGGAUCAGGGACCCACAUAAUGAAGCAGUCUGGCUGCCCCUUGGUGGAGGUGAUGCAUUGUACUGGGGGGAAUCCCAUUCUUCCAUUCUGCCGGGAUUCCUCAGAGCCAGCAGUGGAACAGACUAAGUCCACUGAUCCGCAGAGGCUGUGGCUGCCCCUCCCCCAGGGGCUCCGUCCCAGGGAUUUCAGAGUUCUGUAAACCUCUGGCUGGAGUUCCUGAAGUUCCUGCAGAGUGGUCCUGGGAGCGGCAUCACUCCAAUAACACAGCAUCUAGAUCAUGGUUUCUGAAUGACCUUCAACACUAGAAAGAAUUGGGAUUUCCAGGUCCAAGGCAAGAAAAGGGUAAGAUGGAUCUGAAAAACAUUGUGCUGCAAAUUGAGAAAGUAUUCAAUAAAUGAAGAUGCAUAACAUACACAGAAGCCAGCUUUAAGUGACUUUGAUCAGAUCUGAGCUAAUGUGAAGACUAAAAUAAGGAUAACAUAUUAUAACCUAAUACAUGAGUCCAUAGUACAUUAGUUUGCUAGGGCUGCCAUAAAAAGUACUGAAGGUUAGCUGGGCCUGGUGGCUCAAGCCUGUA